GAGCGCCACCAGCGGCCCGGGAGCCGGGUCAGGAGAUGUAUUUGCAUCUUUACUUUGCGGAUGCCGGAGAGCACUGCGUGAAGGGACUCUAAUAUCAGUCUGAUGAAAAAAUAAAUCCUGGGACAAGGCUGCAUGAUCGUGGAGCCCGCCGGGUCCUGUAGAAGGGGCUGGAGGCAGUCCCGGGCGGGAGGUGGGACGCAGGAGAGGCCCUCAGAAGUGGCCGUGCCUGCUCCCCAUCCCUGCAGCCCAGUGGGGAGGCCCAGCCUGUGGGGACAGGCAGCCCCCAGCAGAUGUGUCCUGACAGAGAGAGCACCGCAGCUCCUCCCUUUUCUCUCAGCCCCGCACCAAACUGCCCUCCCUCCCCAGCCCGGCCUGGCCCCCAGGUCUCCACACCCUACCUACACCCCCUCCACACCCCCACCUCCACACCCACUCGCAGCAGUGGCUUGCCUUGGGCCAGGUUGGGCAUGUGGAGGAAUGGAGGAGGGAGGUUUGCAGGUGGAGGAAGCGGGUCCCUGCAGAGUGGAGAGCUUUGCGUGGGGUCACAGAGCCAGUUAGUCUGUGGGACUUGAGACCACAGCCCAGUCUAGCACUGGGUCUUUGCCAGCUUCCGUUCCCAGAUGCCAGGGUGGGGAAGUGCUCCCUCACAUGUCCGCCAGCAUCCUGUCGAGGGCAUGAUGCUGUCUGCCCACUGCCCCCCGCGGGACCCUGGGCCUUGGGCCCUGGAAGAAUGGGAUCUGCUUGGACAUGAGCGGAGCGUGCCUGCCACGUGGAGCCUGGCACACUGCGUGUGAUGCCAGGCAAGCCAUCACCUUCCACGGGACCUGGUUUCUUCUUCUGAUAAACAAGGGCCGUAUGUGCUCCUCACAGGGCUCCAUGAAGAUUAAACAGCCAGUGAGCACAGGGCACCCAGCCAAGGGGGCAAGUCCUGGCCCGAAAACCUCUGCCGUUUGUUUUCGGGGAUUUUCUGCUGCCUCUCACUCCUGUACCUAAUCGGAAUUAGGCUCUGCUGGAGAGAACAGAAAGCUCCCAAUAAUCCCGACUUCGGCACGAUGGGAGCGCGUGUCUCCGUGUGUUUUGGAGCCUGGAGGGGGAGGUCCAGGGCCGCUGCAGGGCACUCGGUGUCUGGAGCCGGGGCUGCCUGUCCUGUGGCUCCACCACACCUGGACUUUAUUCCUGAGGUUUUCUCUCCAUCACCAGGUCCUGGUCACAUGGAGACAGCACUGCAGCAGGGCCCAGCCAUGUGGCCUUUAUUCCGGAGACACGUGCCCAGUGAAACUGUGUGUUCGAUUACUCAAGGGGACCACAGAGAUUGGGGGCAACGGAUAAUCUGUGCACGACCUACAGUUUUAUGCCUGAGAGAAAAAUAUUUCUAAGACCUGGAAGGAAGAAGGGUACUUUCAGCUGAAAGCAGGAGGAGUUUGUUAACAAUAAUCCCUACGUUAGGAAGAGGGAAAGUGGUCUGGAGGACACUGUAAAGCAAUAGAAGGAAGAGCAAGCCAAGGUCAGACACGCGGUACACGGGGCCAGCACGGACAGUGUGAAGCUGUGGCGGUGGCGUCCGGCUCGAAAGGCAAGGUGGAAAUAAAAUGCUUGGGAAUAAUUACA
rnacentral:lncRNA from 13 species